rnacentral:rRNA from 1 species
GAUGAACGCUAGCUACAGGCUUAACACAUGCAAGUCGCGGGGCAGCAUGGGGGUUGCUUGCAACCCCCGAUGGCGACCGGCGCACGGGUGAGUAACGCGUAUCCAACCUGCCCUUCACCACGGGAUAACCCGGCGAAAGUCGGACUAAUACCGUAUGUUGUCCAUUGACGGCAUCCGAUUUGGACGAAAGGCUUGGCGGUGAGGGAUGGGGAUGCGUCCGAUUAGCCAGACGGCGGGGUAACGGCCCACCGUGGCUACGAUCGGUAGGGGUUCUGAGAGGAAGGUCCCCCACACUGGAACUGAGACACGGUCCAGACUCCUACGGGAGGCAGCAGUGAGGAAUAUUGGUCAAUGGGCGUAAGCCUGAACCAGCCAAGUAGCGUGCAGGAUGACGGCCCUAUGGGGUGUAAACUGCUUUUAUGCGGGGAUAAAGUGGCCCACGUGUGGGCUUUUGCAGGUACCGCAUGAAUAAGGACCGGCUAAUUCCGU